UACGUAGGUGGCGAGCGUUGUCCGGAUUUACUGGGCGUAAAGAGCGCGCAGGCGGUCGAUCAAGUCGGAUGUGAAAGCCCCCGGCUCAACUGGGGAGGGUCAUUCGAUACUGGUCGACUCGAAGGCAGGAGAGGGAAGCGGAAUUCCCCGGUGUAGUGGUGAAAUGCGUAGAUAUCGGGAAGAACACCCGUGGCGAAGGCGGCUCUCUGGGACGGUACUGACGCUGAGACGCGAAAAGCGUGGGGGAGCGAACAGG
rnacentral:rRNA from 1 species